UCGGUGACUCUAAACCCCGGGCCAAACGGGGACGUACGGGUAAAACCGGCNGAAGUUGUGGUUGGUGAUUGGGGUG
rnacentral:rRNA from 1 species